rnacentral:lncRNA from 1 species
GCUGUUACGGCCCUGGUCAAUGUUUUUAAGCAAUACAUAGUUUCCUUUCAUUUUGUUGUUGGCUUUCUGAAAUAAAUGUUUACAUAUUAUAGACUAUCAUGAUCCUUUUUUUUUCAAUUUCAGUUAAACACUAUGUCUGAUUUGCUUUUUCAGAAACUUUAGCAUGUUUAAAUGUCUUUUUCUUUUUCUUCAUCUUUUUGAAACCCUAGUUUUGUAUUACCACUGACCAGUUCAGUAAAAAAAACAGCUGCUUCAUGUUUGUAUAAAUGUGUUUGUAACCUUUCUAACAUGCUAUUAUUUUCC